rnacentral:rRNA from 1 species
AACGAACGCUGGCGGCAGGCUUAACACAUGCAAGUCGAGCGCCCCGCAAGGGGAGCGGCAGACGGGUGAGUAACGCGUGGGAACGUACCUUUUGGUUCGGAACAACUCCGGGAAACUGGAGCUAAUACCGGAUAAGCCCUAACGGGGAAAGAUUUAUCGCCGAAAGCUCGGCCCGCGUCUGAUUAGCUAGUUGGUGAGGUAAAGGCUCACCAAGGCGACGAUCAGUAGCUGGUCUGAGAGGAUGAUCAGCCACACUGGGACUGAGACACGGCCCAGACUCCUACGGGAGGCAGCAGUGGGGAAUAUUGGACAAGGGGCGCAAGACUGAGCCAGCCAUGCCGCGUGAGUGAUGAAGGCCUUAGGGUUGUAAAGCUCUUUUGUCCGGGAAGAUAAUGACUGUACCGGAAGAAUAAGCCCCGGCUAACUUCGUG